rnacentral:rRNA from 1 species
UCGCGUCAGGAUAUGCCUAGGUGGGAUUAGCUAGUUGGUGAGGUAAGGGCUCACCAAGGCGACGAUCCCUAGCUGGUCUGAGAGGAUGAUCAGCCACACUGGAACUGAGACACGGUCCAGACUCCUACGGGAGGCAGCAGUGGGGAAUAUUGCACAAUGGGCGCAAGCCUGAUGCAGCCAUGCCGCGUGUGUGAAGAAGGCCUUCGGGUUGUAAAGCACUUUCAGUCGUGAGGAAGGU